rnacentral:rRNA from 1 species
AACGAACGCUGGCGGCAUGCCUAACACAUGCAAGUCGAACGAGACCUUCGGGUCUAGUGGCGCACGGGUGCGUAACGCGUGGGAACCUGCCCUUAGGUUCGGAAUAACUCCCCGAAAGGGGUGCUAAUACCGGAUAAUGUCUUCGGACCAAAGGUUUAUCGCCUUUGGAUGGGCCCGCGUUGGAUUAGCUAGUGGGUAGGGUAAAAGCCUGCCAAGGCGACGAUCCAUAGCUGGUCUGUGAGGAGGAUCCGCCACACUGGGACUGAGACACGGCCCAGACUCCUACGGAAGGGAGCGGUGGGGAAUAUUGGACAAGGGGCGAAGGCCUGAUCCAGCAAUGCCGCGGAAGUGAUGAAGGCCUUAGGGUUGUAAAGCUCUUUUACCCGGGAUGAUAAUGACAGUACCGGGUAAAUAAGCGCCGGCUAACUCCGUG